AUACGGAGGAUGCGAGCGUUAUCCGGAUUUACUGGGCGUAAAGGGCGUGUAGGCGGUCUUGCAAGUCAGAAGUGAAAUUCCUGAGCUCAACUCGGGCGCUGCUUCUGAAACUGCAGGACUUGAGUGCUGGAGGGGCUAGCGGAAUUCCUAGUGGAGCGGUAAAAUGCGCAGAUAUUAGGAGGAACACCGGUGGCGAAGGCGGCUAUCUGGACAGUAACUGACGCUGAGGCGCGAAAGCACGGGGAGCAAACAGGAUUAGAUACCCUGGUAGUCCGUGCCGUAAACGAUGAAUACUAGGUGUAGGGGGUAUCGACUCCCUCUGUGCCGCAGUUAACACAUUAAGUAUUCCACCUGGGGAGUACGGCCGCAAGGUUGAAACUCAAAUGAAUUGGCGGGG
rnacentral:rRNA from 1 species